AUUGAACGCUGGCGGCAGGCCUAACACAUGCAAGUCGAGCGGAUGAGGGAAGCUUGCUUCACGAUUUAGCGGCGGACGGGUGAGUAAUGCCUAGGAAUCUGCCUAUCAGUGGGGGAUAACGUUCCGAAAGGAACGCUAAUACCGCAUACGUCCUACGGGAGAAAGUGGGGGAGCUUCGGACCUCACGCUAAUAGAUGAGCCUAGGGCGGAUUAGCUAGUUGGUGGGGUAACGGUUCACCAAGGCGACGAUCCGUAGCUGGUCUGAGAGGAUGAUCAGCCACACUGGAACUGAGACACGGUCCAGACUCCUACGGGAGGCAGCAGUGGGGAAUAUUGGACAAUGGGCGAAAGCCUGAUCCAGCCAUGCCGCGUGUGUGAAGAAGGUCUUCGGAUUGUAAAGCACUUUAAGUUGGGAGGAAGGGUUGUAAGCUAAUAUCUUGCAGCUUUGACGUUACCAACAGAAUAAGCACCGGCUAACUCUGUGCCAGCCGCCGCGGUAAAAC
rnacentral:rRNA from 1 species